UGUUGAUAAAAUUUGUCAUGUUUCAGCAUUUGUAAAAACUAAAGUGGUUUAAGGCAACAGGUUUCCACACAAAUUUCUAGUAAACUCAACUAAUCAAGGAUUAGAGUGUCUUUUUAUAAUUUAUGAUUA